rnacentral:rRNA from 1 species
ACGCUGGCGGCGUGCCUAAUACAUGCAAGUAGAACGCUGAAGGAGGAGCUUGCUUCUCUGGAUGAGUUGCGAACGGGUGAGUAACGCGUAGGUAACCUGCCUGGUAGCGGGGGAUAACUAUUGGAAACGAUAGCUAAUACCGCAUAACAGUAGAUGUUGCAUGACAUUUGCUUAAAAGGUGCAAUUGCAUCACUACCAGAUGGACCUGCGUUGUAUUAGCUAGUUGGUGGGGUAACGGCUCACCAAGGCGACGAUACAUAGCCGACCUGAGGGGGUGAUCGGCCACACUGGGACUGAGACACGGCCCAGACUCCUACGGGAGGCAGCAGUAGGGAAUCUUCGGCAAUGGACGGAAGUCUGACCGAGCAACGCCGCGUGAGUGAAGAAGGUUUUCGGAUCGUAAAGCUCUGUUGUAAGAGAAGAACAGGUGUGAGAGUGGAAAGUUCACACUGUGACGGUAUCUUACCAGAAAGGGACGGCUAACUACGUGCCAGCAGCCGCGGUAAUACGUAGGUCCCGAGCGUUGUCCGGAUUUAUUGGGCGUAAAGCGAGCGCAGGCGGUUAGAUAAGUCUGAAGUUAAAGGCUGUGGCCUAACCAUAGUACGCUUUGGAAACUGUUUAACUUGAGUGCAAGAGGGGAGAGUGGAAUUCCAUGUGUAGCGGUGAAAUGCGUAGAUAUAUGGAGGAACACCGGUGGCGAAAGCGGCUCUCUGGCUUGUAACUGACGCUGAGGCUCGAAAGCGUGGGGAGCAAACAGGAUUAGAUACCCCUGGUAGUCCACGCCGUAAACGAUGAGUGCUAGGUGUUAGACCCUUUCCGGGGUUUAGUGCCGCAGCUAACGCAUUAAGCACUCCGCCUGGGGAGUACGACCGCAAGGUUGAAACUCAAAGGAAUUGACG